rnacentral:piRNA from 1 species
UGGCAGUAUCAUGGCCACGGAUGAGC